UACGUAGGGACCAAGCGUUGUUCGGAUUUACUGGGCGUAAAGGGCGCGUAGGCGGCGCGGUAAGUCACUUGUGAAAUCUCUGAGCUUAACUCAGAACGGCCAAGUGAUACUGCAGUGCUAGAGUGUGGAAGGGGCAAUCGGAAUUCUUGGUGUAGCGGUGAAAUGCGCAGAUAUCAGGAGGAACACCGGUGGCGAAGGCGCUGCUCUGGGCCGGUACUGACGCUGAGGAGCGAAAGCGUGGGUAGCAAACAGG
rnacentral:rRNA from 1 species